UGUACGUAUUUAUCUUGGGUUAUCUUAUCUUGUCGUUUUGCGUUCAAAUUCUAUGGUGUUAACUUAAAUAAACGGUAAAUUGUGUACGUGUUUUAUUUAAUGCUGGCUUAUAAUGUUAUUUUUCGCAAUAUUCUAUAUUCGUUAAUGCAGUGAUAAACAAGAAGGGAUCAGAAUUUAGGUUAGGCCUAUAAUGUUUUUCAAAUCCAUUUCUAUUAUAUCUAUGGUGACAACGUAAACUGUUGAGAAAAUCAAUUGCUCUAAAGUUAGAUGUAAAUUGAAACUAUUGAUUUGUUUUGUUCGUUUUAAAACUUUUAACGAUCUAAAUUUGAACUGGCUACAGAUUACAGAUUUUAGCUUGUGUAUAUGGUUAUACGACGCUAGAGUACGGCAGGCUAGACCUAUAGUGAAGAAAGAAACAACCACGAUGCCUCUGCUGUACUGUACACCAUAUAAGUAGUUGAGUAACAUUGAACAAGUUCUCAAUAAAAGACAGAAAAGGAUACAACGGCAGCCCUGAAUAUUUAAAG